GACGAACGCUGGCGGCGUGCUUAACACAUGCAAGUCGAACGGAAAGGCCCUGCUUUUGUGGGGUGCUCGAGUGGCGAACGGGUGAGUAACACGUGAGUAACCUGCCCUUGACUUUGGGAUAACUUCAGGAAACUGGGGCUAAUACCGGAUAGGAGCUCCUGCUGCAUGGUGGGGGUUGGAAAGUUUCGGCGGUUGGGGAUGGACUCGCGGCUUAUCAGCUUGUUGGUGGGGUAGUGGCUUACCAAGGCUUUGACGGGUAGCCGGCCUGAGAGGGUGACCGGCCACAUUGGGACUGAGAUACGGCCCAGACUGAUACGGGAGGCAGGAGUGGGGAAGAGUGCACAAUGGGCGGAAGCGGGAUGGAGCAACGCCGCGUGCGGGAUGACGGCCAGCGGGUUGUAAACCGCUUUCGCCUGUGACGAAGAGUGAGUGACGGUAAUGGGUAAAGAAGCACCGGCUAACUACGUG
rnacentral:rRNA from 1 species